AUUGCAGCAUUGCACACAUACCACUGAAAUUGAGCUUAAGAUGCCUGGGUGCUUUUAGUGCUAUUUAAAGGUGCAAAGAGUAUGUGGUUACUAUCUCUUGCAGCUUGAAACUAACCAAGGAUACAUUACCAAGAGACUCAUUUCAACAUAACACAAAAUAUAGUGAGAGAACGGUCUCAUUCAAAAGCUUUAGCUUUGAAUGAGACAAUUAGCACACACUGCAUGUAAAUAUUUUUUUUCUUAUUU